AGGAUUAGAUACCCUGGUAGUCCACGCCGUAAACGAUGUCGACUUGGAGGUUGUGCCCUUGAGGCGUGGCUUCCGGAGCUAACGCGUUAAGUCGACCGCCUGGGGAGUACGGCCGCAAGGUUAAAACUCAAAUGAAUUGACGGGGGCCCGCACAAGCGGUGGAGCAUGUGGUUUAAUUCGAUGCAACGCGAAGAACCUUACCUACUCUUGACAUCCAGAGAACUUAGCAGAGAUGCUUUGGUGCCUUCGGGAACUCUGAGACAGGUGCUGCAUGGCUGUCGUCAGCUCGUGUUGUGAAAUGUUGGGUUAAGUCCCGCAACGAGCGCAACCCUUAUCCUUUGUUGCCAGCGGUUCGGCCGGGAACUCAAAGGAGACUGCCAGUGAUAAACUGGAGGAAGGUGGGGAUGACGUCAAGUCAUCAUGGCCCUUACGAGUAGGGCUACACACGUGCUACAAUGGCAUAUACAAAGAGAAGCGACCUCGCGAGAGCAAGCGGACCUCAUAAAGUAUGUCGUAGUCCGGAUUGGAGUCUGCAACUCGACUCCAUGAAGUCGGAAUCGCUAGUAAUCGUAGAUCAGAAUGCUACGGUGAAUACGUUCCCGGGCCUUGUACACACCGCCCGUCACACCAUGGGAGUGGGUUGCAAAAGAAGUAGGUAGCUUAACCUUCGGGAGGGCGCUUACCACUUUGUGAUUCAUGACUGGGGUGAAGUCGUAACNNGGUAAC
rnacentral:rRNA from 1 species